AGAAUCUAGCCAUGGUAUGUUGCUUGUUAAGCGAGCUUGAAUCUGAAUUGAUGCUUUUCAGCAUGCAAUAAAUUUUAUUUUAUACACCUUGUUAAAUAGAAAAUAAAUCCGCCAUCCGGGUCAUACUUCAGCGUGAUCAAAUCUGUCAUGAGUCUAGGUUGAGUUUUGUCGAUGAGGUUGUCUAUGGUGUAUAUUGAUUUGAGAUACUCUGGAUUAUUAAUUGUAAUUAAAUUCUUGGCUUUUUCUCCAUGUUUUCCAUCCUUAAUAAAUUGUAUGACUUCUUCUUCAGUCAUAUUUCUUCGAUGGGCCAAAAUCUUCCAGUCCGUCCAACCCAGA